rnacentral:rRNA from 1 species
GACGAACGCUAGCGGCGUGCCUAAUACAUGCAAGUAGAACGCAGUUGCGAACGGGUGAGUAACGCGUAGGUAACUGCCUCAUAGCGGGGGAUAACUAUUGGAAACGAUAGCUAAUACCGCAUACUGUGAGAUGGACCUGCUUUGUAUUAGCUAGUUGGUGAGUUAAAGGCUCAACAAGGCGAAGCUACAUAGCCGACCUGAGAGGUUGACAGGCCAUACUGGUAGUGAUACACGGCCCAUACGCCUACGGUAGGCAGCAGUAGGGAAUCUUCGGAAAUGGACGGAAGUCUGACCGAGCAGCGCCGCGUGAGUGAAUACGGUUUUCGGAUCGUAAAGCUCUGUUGUUAGAGCAGCGGUAACUACCCAGAAAGGGACGGCUAACUCCGUGCCAGCAGCCGCGGUAAUUC